rnacentral:rRNA from 1 species
UACGUAGGGACCAAGCGUUGUCCGGAAUCAUUGGGCGUAAAGCGCGUGUAGGCGGCUGAGUAAGUCUGCUCUGAAAGCCCGGGGCUCAACCCCGGGAGGCGGGUGGAUACUGCUCAGCUCGAGUCCGGAAGAGGAGUGUGGAAUUCCUGGUGUAGCGGUGAAAUGCGCAGAUAUCAGGAGGAACACCAAUGGCGAAGGCAGCACUCUGGGACGGUACUGACGCUGAGACGCGAAAGCGUGGGGAGCAAACAGG